rnacentral:misc_RNA from 1 species
AAAGUCGUAACAAGGUAACCGUAGGUGAACCUGCAGUUGGAUCAUUAUCACGUAUCCACGUAUAAACCAUUGUGAACUGUAUUUUAGCCUUUAGAAAGAAUUUUGUGAUGCAGAGGGAUUCAUUUCUCUCUGUCUUUCUAAAGUGUAUUUUAUCACUUAAUUAACCAUUUAAACCUUAUUUAUUAACUUUUUUGAACUGAUCUAUUUCUUACUCUUUCGGGAGAAGAAAUUCAUUACGAAACAUAAGAACAACUCUUAGCAACGGAUAUCUUGGUUCUC